rnacentral:rRNA from 1 species
UUACCAAAAACAUCGCCUUUAGAAAAAAGAUUAAAGGUUCUGCCUGCCCGGUGACAAUAGUUAAACGGCUGCAGUAUUACUGACUGUGCAAAGGUAGCAUAAUCAUUCGCCUGUUAAUUGCAGGCUAGUAUCAACGGCUAGACGACAGAGAAGCUGUCUCCCCUUAUAUAAUUUGAAAUUAACCUUAAGGUGAAGAGACCUUAAUAAUGUAGUGGGACAAGAAGACCCUAUAGAGCUUUACCUAUAUAAUUUUAAAUUUUGAAUUAGUAGGUUUGGUUGGGGCAACCUCCCCUUUUUUAAAGCAGGGGAUAAUCAAAAUGUAUUAAAACAAAUAACAAGACCCAAAACUUUUUGAUCAAAAGAAAAAGUUACCUUAGGGAUAACAGCGUAA